GGCAGCGGACAACUGAACAGGGCUCUGAUAUCUCUGCUGGCUCCUGCCCUCCCGACAGCGCCUGCGUCCCCGCCUCGCUGUGCUCGUCGGCGGACGCGAUCACCUACGAACCGGACACAAACAUUUAUCACCCGACGUCGCAGUACCAGCCGGCCUUUACACAGAGGUUCACGUGCGGCCAGGAGGCGGCGGGCCGGGUC